rnacentral:misc_RNA from 1 species
GCUCUUGAAAUGGCUCCUGCUGAUUCAGUCAAACCCUUGUAUCUUCAAUAUGCAAAGCUGGAAGAGGAUUAUGGUUUGGCAAAGCGAGCUAUGAAAGUUUAUGAUCAAGCAACUAAGGCUGUCCCAAAUAAUGAAAAACUGGAGAUGUAUAAAAUUUAUAUUGCACGUGCAGCUGAGAUAUUUGGUGUCCCAAAAACAAG